UAAAAACCCCGACUUCGGAAGGGGUGUAUUUAUUAGAUACAAAACCAAUGCCCUUCGGGGCUCUUUGGUGAUUCAUGAUAACUAUACGAAUCGCACGGCCUUGCGCCGGCGAUGGUUCAUUCAAAUUUCUUCCCUAUCAACUUUCGAUGUUUGGGUAUUGGCCAAACAUGGUUGCAACGGGUAACGGAGGGUUAGGGCUCGACCCCGGAGAAGGAGCCUGAGAAACGGCUACUACAUCCAAGGAAGGCAGCAGGCGCGCAAAUUACCCAAUCCCGACUCGGGGAGGUAGUGACAAUAAAUACUGAUACAGGGCCCUUUCGGGCCUUGUAAUUGGAAUGAGUACAAUUUAAAUCCCUUAACGAGGAACAAUUGGAGGGCAAGUCUGGUGCCAGCAGCCGCGGUAAUUCCAGCUCCAAUAGCGUAUAUUAAAGUUGUUGUGGUUAAAAAGCUCGUAGUUGAACCUGGGGGCUGGGUGGGCGGUCCGCCUCACCGGUUGCUCUGGUUCGGCCGAGCCUAUUAAACUUGUUGUGGCAAAAAAGUUCGUAGUUGAAGGUUGGGAAACGUUGGCUGGACUGU
rnacentral:rRNA from 1 species